AUGUUCAGGUUACCUGGCAAAUGUAAGUUCUUUCUGGGCUUGUUUGAUCCGUCUUGCAAUUCUGAAGCACCUUCAAGGUUUCAGACAUUCGAAAGCUUGCUUGAAGGCAUGCGCUGUGGAAUUGAGAGAAUUAUGUCUCCUGCCUUCACGCGUCAGUUUGAGCGUCAUGAAGAGUCGAAGAUGCAUCCUUACGGUGCUGAAACGCCUUCUCGCUUGUAUGAGUGCACUCGGAUUGUUUUGCUCGCUGUAAGAAUACAUGCGUCCAUCAAUCUCAUCUCUGGUCUCGAAAAAUGCAAUCCUGCUGAUUCAAGAUCAGUGCUGCUCAUGUGUGAGGCAGGGAGCUGUCUAGACUCCUAG
rnacentral:rRNA from 1 species